rnacentral:misc_RNA from 1 species
UGUCCAGCUAACGUCCGGAGAGCU